GUGUCCUCCCGGGCCCUUUCCCUUCGCCCCAGGCGGCCCUCGCGCCGCGCGCGGAGGUGCCCCCCUUCAUUGACGUCAGUCCUCAGGAAGAGCGCGGUUUUGCUGGCCCGGGAGCGGGGGUGGGGCCGCAUUCCUGCCCCGGGGUGCGGCGACGGCUGGCCCUGCUGGUUACACGUGAUCCCUGUAGAAAUAUUGAAAAGAAUGAAGAAAUCAGCAAUGUUCAUCUCCAAUAGAAAGUAUUGCUGCAAAGCCUUUCAUCCAACUGCUUGGCUAAGGAGAGUACUGUGCAGACAGUUAAACCCGGAAUCUGGGCUUCUGAACCAGGAACUCCUUCUACUCCAUUCUCCACAAUAGGAAAGCCAAACUCUUGGCAUAUCAGUGCUUGGAGAGGCUAAGGAUCCUGAUGCCAUGAGCUCUGCUGAGCAUACCAGGGAAUUGUUCAAGCAGCUGGACAGUCACAAAUGGUCCCCCAGUGGGGCUGAGACUUGUUCCCAUGGGUUUGUUGUUGCUGAAUGUUCUGUUCUGGGGAGAACAGAGAGAACGUCCACACUCACCUGACAAGCAACAGUGGGACUCUUGAGUCAACUCCGUUUUUCUUGAUAAAUGAUCUGAUCAUUCUAAACUUUUUAAAAAGCACCCUUCUGCUUAGGACGUUACAAAAAGCAACUUACAACAACCCUCUUCUGUGAACUUACAAACUGAACAGGCUGAAAACAACAAAGUCCUACAGGCAAAUGGUGCAUUAUAGAAACAUUAAAAAAAUAUAUACCGUUCAGGGGCUUCCCUGGUGGUGCAGUGGUUAAGAAUCCGCCUGCCAAUGCAGAGGACAUGGGUUCGAGCCCUGGUCGGGGAAGAUCACACAUGCCGCCGAGCAACUAAGCCCGUGCGCCACAACUACUGAGCCUGCACUCUAGAGCCCACGAGCCACAACUACUGAGCCUACAUGCCACAAUUACUGAGCCUGCGCUCUAGAGCCCGUACUCUGCAACAAGAGAAGCCACCGCAAUGAGAAGCCCGCACACCGCAGCGAAGAGUAGCCCCCGCGCACAGUAGCAAAGACCCAGCGCAGUCAAAAAUAAAUAAAUAAAUUUAUAAAAAAUAAAUGAAUAAAAUAAAAAAU